GAUGAACGCUGGCGGCGUGCCUAAUACAUGCAAGUCGAGCGAACGGACGAGAAGCUUGCUUCUCUGAUGUUAGCGGCGGACGGGUGAGUAACACGUGGAUAACCUACCUAUAAGACUGGGAUAACUUCGGGAAACCGGAGCUAAUACCGGAUAAUAUUUUGAACCGCAUGGUUCAAAAGUGAAAGACGGUCUUGCUGUCACUUAUAGAUGGAUCCGCGCUGCAUUAGCUAGUUGGUAAGGUAACGGCUUACCAAGGCAACGAUGCAUAGCCGACCUGAGAGGGUGAUCGGCCACACUGGAACUGAGACACGGUCCAGACUCCUACGGGAGGCAGCAGUAGGGAAUCUUCCGCAAUGGGCGAAAGCCUGACGGAGCAUCGCCGCGUGAGUGAUGAAGGUCUUCGGAUCGUAAAACUCUGUUAUUAGGGAAGAACAUAUGUGUAAGUAACUGUGCACAUCUUGACGGUACCUAAUCAGAAAGCCACGGCUAACUACGUG
rnacentral:rRNA from 1 species